ACUCAGGCUCGUGCCCGCGUCGACCGAAAGCUUUGUUUUCUUUCCUCUGUUUAGCUAAAUGGACAUUCCCGGUCGGAAUAUUAUCGCUUUUUUAUGAGAAAAAUGGCAUAAAAAUUGAUUUUAAACAGCGGUUGACAUGCUUUGAAGUACGGUAAUGGAAUAUUUAGAAUUUUUUUGUCACGAAUUGCGCCAUGCGCACGACCCUGAUUUACCAUUUCAGAUAGUGUCUGGGACGCACAAACAAAAACGCUGGAUUAUUUUGGACCAAACCAACAUUUGUUAUUGAAGUAGCAGUCCUGGGAGUGCAUUCUGACGAAGACAACAAAAGAGGACCUGAGCCCUAGGACCAUGCCUCUGGACUACCUGGCAUGAUGACUCCUUGCUGUCCCCAGUCCACCUGGCCGUGCUGCUGCUCCAGUUUCAACUGUUCUGCCAGCGGCUAUGGAACCCUGACCUGUUCACCGGACGUGCUACCUGACCCAGACCUGCUGUUUUCAACUCUCUAGAGACACCAAGAGCGGUAGAGAUACUCUCAAUGAUCGGCUAUGAAAAGCCAACUGACAUUUACUCCUGAGGUGCUGACCUGUUGCACCCUCGACAACUACUGUGAUUAUUAUUAUUUGAACAUCUUGGCCAUGUUCUGUUAUAAUCUCCACCCGGCACAGCCAGAAGAGGACUGGCCACCCCUCAUAGCCUGGUUCCUCUCUAGGUUUUUUCCUAGGUUUUGGCCUUUCUAGGGAGUUUUUCCAAGCCACCGUGCUUCUACACCUUCAUUGCUUGCUGUUUGGGGUUUUAGGCUGGGUUUCUGUACAGCACUUUGAGAUAUCAGCUGAUCUAAGAAGGGCUAUAUAUAUACAUUUGAUUUGAUGAGUGCAUAUAAUUUUACGUACGAGUGGUCUCAGGAAUCAAACCCAUUAUCCUGGCGUUGCAAGCGCUAUCAUGAUCUACCAACUGAGUUGCAGGUCAACAUACUUUCCAUGACACAGCACUAGAUAUGAUACAUCAUCAUCAGUCAUUAAUAAAGGCUUUUCUAGAGCUCUGACUGUAGAGUGGGUUAGAGGUCAGGUCAGAUGGAUGCUACAUACUAAAUAUUAAUACAGAGUUUCCUAGACUGAAGUAGGUGAGAG
rnacentral:lncRNA from 1 species